UGAAUUUCUCAGCCCGCUGUCGUCCCUCACUGACAUCGCGGAUAUGGUUUGCUGAGCGAAGUAGGCAUUUUGCAUUUGGCUUUGGCCGUGGCCUUGGCCUUGGCCGUAGCCGUAUCCAUAUCCAUAACCAGCAGGCAUUUGGUUGUUGUACAUCUGUUGAGGAUGAUACAUGUAUCCCAUCUGGGCAGGUUGCAUUUGCUGCGGAUACAUAACCACGGGCUGCUGCUGCGGGUGCUGCAUGGGAUAAGGAUGCAACCCUUGCAUUUGGUUGCUCUGCAUGGCCCGGUUGUCCAUCGCUGUGAACUGGCUGCCGUUGUACCCACCAAGCGCCGCCUGAUCAUUCGCCACGGGUUGCUGACCUGUAAUAUAAGCGCCACUGGGCGAUGGUUGGGCGUGACUUACUACUCCUUGAGUUGCUUGCAUUUGUUGAGGCUGGUUUACUGCAGGCAGACUGCUGUCAAGUGUUGCUUCCCAUGGCGGAGGGGGGAGAGAGUCGCUCGCCUGAGCGCCUUUGACACAAAAAGAUAAGAGAAUAGGCACAAUUCAGGUUCAGCUUCUACCUCAUUUGGGGUUGUGUGGGGAUAGUAUAUAUAAAAUCAAGAAACAUGUACCGUAAACUGGUGAGGGUGGCUGCUGCUGUUGGUUCAUUUGACCGUAAAUUGGUGAGGGCNGUGUGAAUUGGUUUUGUGAAUUGAAUUUGGUUUGGUAAAAUUGAUUUGGUGAAUUGGUUUUGUGAUAGUUUGUGAAUUGGUUCUGGGGAUUGUGAAUUGGUUUGUGUGAAUUGGUUUUGUGAAAUUAGUUUCUGAAUCAAAAUCGGAGGGGAGUUUCAAAGGAGGAGGAAGAGGUAUUGUUGCUCACGGCCAAAAGCCGCUGCUGCCGCCGAGUCCGGAGUUUCCAAGGAGGAGGAAGAGGGCGCCUUUGAAAAUGGUGAGGUAGGAGUUUCCAAGGAGGAGGAAGAGGGCGCCUUUGAAAAUGGUGAGGUAGGGGGCGACGACGCUGUGGUUGGGGAGGCAGGGGCAGCGCGCUGGGGGUGGGUAAGGUUGCUGGAUCUUUGCUGGGAAAGGAUGGGCGACGACGACGCUAUGGUUGUGGAGGAACGCCGGCGCUGGGGCCGCUGGAGGCUGGAGGCAGGGGAGGGGCGGCGCGGCGCGCAGGUGGGUCGGGGAAGAAGGAGAUUGGAAUUGCUGGGGAAGAAGGAGAUUGGAAUUGCUGGGAGAUAGGAACGGCCGAAUUGUAAUAGAUUUUUCCUUUUAAAAAAAAAUAAAUUUAACAAUUAAUUUAAUAUGAGGUUAAAAUAGUAAUUUUUUACCUUUGCUUAUUAAUCUAGAUUUUAAUCUUGAUCUAUCAAACAACUAAUUCAAGUUAUCUAUAUUUUAAUCUUGAUCUAUCAAACACUAAACUACAUUAUUAAUCUCACCCAAUCCUAUAUUAUUUUAACUAAGUUUUAUUUAUCACUCUUUAUCUCAACUAGCUAUCAAACUGGCCCUAAGGGUCCGUUUGAUAGGGUUUAUUACAUUAGAUAAAUUGUAUUUCUCACCUUAAAACUCUGUUUGAUAGACAUAUUAAUUAAUAGUGCAGGCCCGCAAAUAAACAGAAGCCCGCAACAAAUUCACUGUGCAUCUGAGAAAAGUAAACCAAUGCUCACCCCCAGUUCAUUUAUAUUGAAUGCACAGUGAAUUGAGAUUAAAUUGAUACUUUACACUUUUAUCCCUGAAAUUGAAUCAAAAUCAGAGGCUUAUGGAAUUGACUCCCGCUCUGAAAUUGAAAUUGUGUUCUUCACCAUUGGGGGAACAAAGCCUUUCCAUAGCUGUCGGCCCAAUUUUUACAGAUUUGAUGUUUUUCUGUGUUGCUCAAUUUUUAUUCUAUUUUUACCUUUUUCAGUCUUCAUUGUUUUAGGACGUGGAGUUCUGUUUUGAUUGUGGUUGUUUAUUCAUUAGGCCCCGUUUAUUUUAUAGAUUUGUUGCUGUGAUUCUCUCUCGCGCACGGUGGAAUUUUCGAACCCAUUAACAUUGUUGCUGUGAUUUUCUAACAGGGUGGAACUUACAUGAAAUGGCCCGCUCAGCUCCCCGUGGCCAAAAGCCGUCGCUGCUGCCGCCGAGUCCGGAGUUUCCAAGGAGUAGGAGAGGCGGUGAAACACGCACCCACCCGAGACGUCGGCGUUGUGGUUGGGGAGGGACGCCGGCGCCGGGGGAGGCUGGAGGCAGGGGGCGGCGCGCAGGUGGGUCGGGGGAAGAAGGGGAUUGGAAUUGCCGAAUUCUAAUAUAUUUUUCCUUUUCUAUUUUUUUUUUAAUUUAAAUUUAACAAUUAAUGUAAUAUAAGGUUAAAAUAGUAAUUUUUUACCUUUCAUUAUUUAAUCUAAAUUUUAAUCUUUAUCUAUCAAACAACUAAUUCAUGUUAUCUAGAUUUUAAUCUUGAUCUAUCAAACACUAAAAUACAUUACUAAUCUCACUCAAUUCAUAUUAUUUUAACUAAGUUUUAUUUAUCACUCUUUAUCUCAACUAGCUAUCAAACUGGCUUACAUUAUAAAUUUAUAAGUAAAAAUUAAUAAAAGAAUAACUUUAUAUGUAUCUAGAAUUCGGUUACAUUUCACUUGCUUCAUCCUCAUUUUCGAAAAAAUAUUUUUUAAUAAUGACUAUAUAUAAAAAAAGGGGUAUGCCAUCGAUGCUCUUACUCACCCAACCAAAGCAAAAAUAGAAAAUGUUUCUUUCCUUUAUACGAGUUUCCGUUUCUACAAUGAAAAUGUACCUGACUCUAAUGAAAAGAAAUACAUAAAAACCAAAAAAAAAAAAGAGAGUGAAGAAAUGCAGGCAACACGAAGCAUGAAGGUGAAGAAUAUAUAUGAUACCCCCAAAAAUAGAAGAAAAACUAAGGCAGGCCAAACGAGUUAGCAAACAAAAUAAGCAAAAGUCAAGGGCAAAGAAAGCCAUCUAUCUCUUCACAUGCUCUCAGCUCUACCUGGUGUCGUCUUCCCCGGUUUGAAUUUAGAGAUGUCGACAAGGUCCCCGAAUAGCUUGUCCUCCGGCCUAGACGGCCUUCCGGAUGGAAGACUGCUUGACGCUGAAUUUCUCAGCCCGCUGUCGUCCCUCACUGACAUCGCGGAUAUGGUUUGCUGAGCGAAGUAGGCAUUUUGCAUUUGGCUUUGGCCGUGGCCUUGGCCUUGGCCGUAGCCGUAUCCAUAUCCAUAACCAGCAGGCAUUUGGUUGUUGUACAUCUGUUGAGGAUGAUACAUGUAUCCCAUCUGGGCAGGUUGCAUUUGCUGCGGAUACAUAACCACGGGCUGCUGCUGCGGGUGCUGCAUGGGAUAAGGAUGCAACCCUUGCAUUUGGUUGCUCUGCAUGGCCCGGUUGUCCAUCGCUGUGAACUGGCUGCCGUUGUACCCACCAAGCGCCGCCU
rnacentral:lncRNA from 1 species